UACGUAGGCAGCAAGCGUUGUUCGGAGUUACUGGGCGUAAAGGGUGUGUAGGCGGUUCUUUAAGUUUGGUGUGAAAUCCCUCAGCUUAACUGGGGAACUGCGUCCGAUACUGGAUGGCUUGAGUUUGGGAGAGGGAUGCGGAAUUCCAGGUGUAGCGGUGAAAUGCGUAGAUAUCUGGAGGAACACCGGUGGCGAAGGCGGCAUCCUGGACCAACACUGACACUGAGGAGCGAAAGCCAGGGGAGCAAACGGG
rnacentral:rRNA from 1 species